rnacentral:rRNA from 1 species
UACGGAGGGAGCUAGCGUUGUCCGGAAUUAUUGGGCGUAAAGCGCGCGCAGGCGGUCCUUUAAGUCUGAUGUGAAAGCCCUCGGCUCAACCGAGGAGGGUCAUUGGAAACUGGAGGACUUGAGUGCAGAAGAGGAAAGUGGAAUUCCAAGUGUAGCGGUGAAAUGCGUAGAGAUUUGGAGGAACACCAGUGGCGAAGGCGACUUUCUGGUCUGUAACUGACGCUGAGGCGCGAAAGCGUGGGGAGCAAACAGG